rnacentral:rRNA from 1 species
AACGAACGCUGGCGGCAUGCCUAACACAUGCAAGUCGAACGAGACCUUCGGGUCUAGUGGCGCACGGGUGCGUAACGCGUGGGAACCUGCCCUUAGGUUCGGAAUAACUCCCCGAAAGGGGUGCUAAUACCGGAUAAUGUCUUCGGCCCAAAGUUUUCUCGCCUUUGGAUGGGCCCGCGUUGGCUUGCCUGGUUGGUAGGGUAAAAGCCUACCAAGGCGACGAUCCAUAGCUGGUCUGAGAGGAUGAUCAGCCACACUGGGACUGAGACACGGCCCAGACUCCUACGGGAGGCAGCAGUGGGGAAUAUUGGACAAUGGGCGAAAGCCUGAUCCAGCAAUGCCGCGUGAGUGAUGAAGGCCUUAGGGUUGUAAAGCUCUUUUACCCGGGAUGAUAAUGACAGUACCGGGAGAAUAAGCUCCGGCUAACUCCGUG